AGCUUUGUGCAGUGGCAGUAUCGCAGCCAAUGAGGUUUAUCUGAGCACAAUUAUUGCUAACUGGAAACUUUUCCCAAUACCCCACUGUAAUUACUUGCAAUACAGUCAGCACUGGCAAUUUUUGAUAGUCUCUAUGGAGA
rnacentral:snRNA from 1 species